CGGGUUAGUAACGCGUGGGAACAUACCCUUCUCUACUGAAUAGCCUCGGGAAACUGAGAGUAAUACCGUAUACCCCCUUCGGGGGAAAGAUUUAUCGGAGAAGGAUUGGCCCGCGUUAGAUUAGGUAGUUGGUGGGGUAAUGGCCUACCAAGCCUACGAUCUAUAGCUGGUUUUAGAGGAUGAUCAGCAACACUGGGACUGAGACACGG
rnacentral:rRNA from 1 species